rnacentral:lncRNA from 1 species
GCACUGUAAUUAUAUAUUAAUGGUGGAUUUAUUGCUACAUAUACAAUAUAACAAUAUAAUUUGGCCAUUAUCAUUCCAUGAUAUUUUCCCUUUCCCUCUCUUCCUCCCUCACUCUGGUCCCUUUCUUCUACUGAUGUCCCUUUGAUUUUCAUGAGAUGUCCACCCCAAAAUUUAUUUUACUUUUUGUCUAUAGCUUCCACAUAUGAGAGAAAACAUAUUGAGAGACCCCAGCCCAAUAACUUUAGGCCCAGUAACAGAUCACCAGGGCUUGCUUCCGCACCUGCACAGACGUCAGAUGUAUUUUUCAGAAAAUCAGUUAAGUGUAACCGAUUAAG